rnacentral:tRNA from 1 species
GCGAGGGUGGCGGAAUUGGCAGACGCGCCAGGUUUAGGACCUGGUGUCUUAGGACAUGCGGGUUCGAGUCCCGCCCCUCGCA